rnacentral:rRNA from 1 species
GAGUGAACGCUGGCGGUAGGCCUAACACAUGCAAGUCGAACGGCAGCACAGUAAGAGCUUGCUCUUACGGGUGGCGAGUGGCGGACGGGUGAGGAAUACAUCGGAAUCUACUUUUUCGUGGGGGAUAACGUAGGGAAACUUACGCUAAUACCGCAUACGACCUACGGGUGAAAGCAGGGGAUCUUCGGACCUUGCGCGAUUGAAUGAGCCGAUGUCGGAUUAGCUAGUUGGCGGGGUAAAGGCCCACCAAGGCGACGAUCCGUAGCUGGUCUGAGAGGAUGAUCAGCCACACUGGGACUGAGACACGGUCCAGACUCCUACGGGAGGCAGCAGUGGGGAAUAUUGGACAAUGGGCGCAAGCCUGAUCCAGCCAUACCGCGUGGGUGAAGAAGGCCUUCGGGUUGUAAAGCCCUUUUGUUGGGAAAGAAAAGCAGCAGGUUAAUACCCCGCUGUUCUGACGGUACCCAAAGAAUAAGCACCGGCUAACUUCGUG